rnacentral:rRNA from 1 species
UACGUAGGUGGCAAGCGUUAUCCGGAUUUAUUGGGCGUAAAGCGAGUGCAGGCGGUUUCUUAAGUCUGAUGUGAAAGCCUUCGGCUUAACCGAAGAAAUGCAUUGGAAACUGGGGAACUUGAGUGCAGAAGAGGAGAGUGGAACUCCAUGUGUAGCGGUGAAAUGCGUAGAUAUAUGGAAGAACACCAGUGGCGAAGGCGGCUCUCUGGUCUGUAACUGACGCUGAGGCUCGAAAGCGUGGGUAGCAAAC